GUAGUCUCGCACAGAUGCAUAUCAAUAAGCGGAGGAAAAGAAACUAACAAGGAUUCCCUUAGUAACGGCGAGUGAAGCGGGAAGAGCUCAAAUUUGAAAUCUUCAAGGUUUUACCUUGACGAAUUGUAGUUUAAAGAAGUGUUUUCUGUUGAAGUUUUGGUAAAAGUUCUUUGGAAUAGGACAUCAUAGAGGGUGAGAAUCCCGUAUUUGACCAUUAUUUUCAGCUGUGUGAUACACUUUCAAAGAGUCGGGUUGUUUGGGAAUGCAGCCCAAAACGGGAGGUAAAUUUCUUCUAAGGCUAAAUAUUGGCGAGAGACCGAUAGCGAACAAGUACCGUGAGGGAAAGAUGAAAAGAACUUUGAAAAGAGAGUUAAACAGUACGUGAAAUUGUCAAAAGGGAAGCGUUUGACACCAGUGUUGUUUUCUCGAAAAUCAAUUAAAAAGAGUUAGAUUUUGUUGUGUAUUGACCUUAACAGCUUGCAUUUCAAUUUUCUUGCUUUUUUUAAUGCACUUUUCGUUUAACAAGUCAACAUCAGUUUCUUUUGUUGUAAAAAGGUCAUUGGAAGGUGGCUUUCUUUUCGGAGAAAGUGUUUAUAGCCUUUGACUCCUGCAAUCGGAGAGACUGAGGUCUGCAGCGUAGAUCCUUCGGGGUUAGAUACAUUUGUGCUAAGUUAUAGCUUUUUAUAGACAACUUGUUGACUAUGAUUAGUCUUGUAGCUUACUCGCUUAUGCUAUUUUACCUACGCUUAGGAUGUUGAAGAUGUAGCACAUCAU
rnacentral:rRNA from 1 species